UAACUGUGUUUACAUAACAUAUAGCAGGAUAGGAAAGGCAAUCUCAUCCAUUGGCAACACCGCGUCGUCAAACUAUCGGAAAAUUAUUGCUGUUUCUUCUUGUAGACGAACAAUUCGAGACAAAUCAGCGAAAGGAUGGUCUGAGUGAUAAUUGAUGCUUGUGCCUAUGUUGGCAACAAGAUCUCGCAGGCAAUCAGCUCCAAGAAGUUGAAGGGCAAGGAGGAGGAUGUGGAGCCCAAGACAGAGACCGUGGGUCAGAGGAGCUGUGUGCUGAAGGGCAAAAAGCCCAGCCAGAAUGGUGCUACUUACAUGCAGCAUUCAGAGCCAAGCCAGGACCACCCUUAUGAUGCCCCACCACCCUACUACAAGUAGUCAGGGGCGGUUUUCUUAGAAAGGCAGUUAUAAUUGUGGUGUUACUACGUGUACCAACCUGAGAACCCUUCAACAUAGUCACAAUCAGCAACUGUGUACAUCUUUUGUUUAUGGCGCAAGUCCGGGACACGCACGUGCAACAUCGUCGAUGUAUCCAGGACAGGAACCAAAUCGAGGACUCCUGGGUCAGAAAACUGUCCAAAUCCAAUGAGAGCUGUUGCAAAAAA